UUCUGAGGAAUAGGCUCGAUUGUUAAAAAUUUUGUACCGAGUUUUAACAAGCCGGCUUGAGAAUUGGGAUAGGUCGAAGACUCGUUCACACUAUCCGAAGGCCUAAAUUGGUAAAAUGGCUUGUGUGUUUUGAAUGUGGCAUGUAUGGCAAAAUACUCACUUUGUGUAAAUGAUCUUAUGAUAUGGCUAUGGUUUGGAAAGAAAAGGGUUUGUAAAUGAUUAACCUUUGGAAUGGCCAAUCUAAGUCAUAUUUGAUGUUACGUAUGUUUAAAAUGCUAUUUAGUUCAUGAAAAUCCUUAGUAAAGUGAAA